rnacentral:tRNA from 1 species
GGGUUGCUAGCUCAAUUGGUAGAGCAACAGACUCUUAAUCUGCAGGUUCGGGGUUCGAUUCCCCGGCGACCCACCA